rnacentral:tRNA from 1 species
GCCCGGUUAGCUCAGUUGGUUAGCAGCACCCGCCUUACAUGCGGGGGGUCGUCUGUUCGAAUCAGACACCGGGUA